UUGGCAUGUGCUCCAUUUUCCUCUGUGUGGCAUCCCUUUUGCAGAGGCGGCUUCUGGUUAUUGCGGAAAGUCAAAAACCGAGAUCACAAGAUUGGACAGCAAUGAAAGAGAUGGAAGCAGAGCCAUUAAAUGCUUGAUUGAUGUUAGAGGAAUAAACCUCUGGAAUUUUUUUCAAGAUUGUGAGCAGCCGCCUUUGCUCCUUAUGCACGUUGGAGCCAACUUGGUUAGCUGUUUGCGAUCCAACCAAUAACAGACGAUUGUGGGCUAAGUCCUACUUUUGAUAAGAGCUGGUAGAGGAUUUUAUGCGGGCCUAAGAGGUAGUUGACAGUAAAGAAAUGAUUUUUAGGUGCAUAGAACGUAUGAAAAGUCAUUGCUUUGAAAUCUUGUUGACUGGUGCUAUUGUAAUCUACGGUAGCGCAACGCCAGA
rnacentral:misc_RNA from 1 species